GACAGAGGGAUUUGGCGGGAAAGGUGGUGGCGCGAAUCCACGUCACCAGAUUAAAGCGUUCGCGCUCGACGCCGGAAUCCGAAAGCGUACCGCCGAAAGGCAACACAGCCACAACGAGGGCGUUACUUCGCCAUAAUCACAGUCGGCAUCAAACCGGACCACAGCCCGGCCCAGUUUGUUCCUCGGCCGCUCGGUGCUAGUACCAGCCCAAAUCACAAGGGCCUCGGAUUUUAAGAUAGACUCGCGACCAAUCAGAGCCGAUCUUCGUGCCACGUGUACUCUCGCUCGAGGGAGUGGAUGGAGAGGAGCGAGUGAGCGACCGAUAGUCCGAUACCCGAACCCAAAAAAAAUCAUCCGCGAGAAAAAACAGAAAAAAAGAAAAAAAAAAAAA